CAGGUCCCCAAGGAGUGUUUGGUAACUGGGGUGAAGUCGUAACAAGGUAGCCGUAGGGGAACCUGCGGCUGGAUCACCUCCUUU
rnacentral:ncRNA from 1 species